rnacentral:rRNA from 1 species
CAACAGGGAUUGCCCUAGUAACGGCGAAGUGAAGCGGCAACAGCUCAAAUUUGAAAUCUGGCUCUUUCAGAGUCCGAGUUGUAAUUUGCAGAGGGCGCUUUGGCUUUGGCAGCGGUCCAAGUUCCUUGGAACAGGACGUCACAGAGGGUGAGAAUCCCGUACGUGGUCGCUAGCUAUUGCCGUGUAAAGCCCCUUCGACGAGUCGAGUUGUUUGGGAAUGCAGCUCUAAAUGGGAGGUAAAUUUCUUCUAAAGCUAAAUAUUGGCCAGAGACCGAUAGCGCACAAGUAGAGUGAUCGAAAGAUGAAAAGCACUUUGGAAAGAGAGUCAAACAGCACGUGAAAUUGUUGAAAGGGAAGCGCUUGCAGCCAGACUUGCUUGCAGUUGCUCAUCCGGGCUUUUGCCCGGUGCACUCUUCUGCAGGCAGGCCAGCAUCAGUUUGGGCGGUGGGAUAAAGGUCUCUGUCAUGUACCUCUCUUCGGGGAGGCCUUAUAGGGGAGGCGACAUACCACCAGCCUAGACUGAGGUCCGCGCAUCUGCUAGGAUGCUGGCGUAAUGGCUGUAAGCGGCCCGUCUUGAAACACGGACCAAGGAGUCUAACAUCUAUGCGAGUGUUUGGGUGUCAAGCCCGAGCGCGUAAUGAAAGUGAACGGAGGUGGGAACCCGCAAGGGUGCACCAUCGACCGAUCCUGAAGUUUACGGAAGGAUUUGAGUAAGAGCAUGGCUGUUGGGACCCGAAAGAUGGUGAACUAUGCUUGAAUAGGGUGAAGCCAGAGGAAACUCUGGUGGAGGCUCGCAGCGGUUCUGACGUGCAAAUCGAUCGUCAAAUUUGGGCAUAGGGGCGAAAGACUAAUCGAACUAUCU